UUUUUUUUUCAUUUGUUUUCAAUCAAAUAUAUUCUUUUUCCAUAGCCUCUCACCCCUUUCUUUUCCUCACCCUCCCCCUUCUUUUCAUCCGCACCAAACCCUAGCACUUUUGGCACAAAAACUCAUUCAUUCCAAGAGCAUAGCCUCCUCCGCCCAAGGGAGGAGCUGAAAUCUUAGCCCAUGGAUGCUCCAUUCUCAGGUUUCUCGAGUGCUCUUGUUUUAAGAGGUUGAGUUCCCUGUCCUUGAAUCUGAGGCAUUGUUCAUUAGAAAAGUAGGGGAGGAGAUCACUCAGCAGUUGUACAAUUUUGAGGAUAAGGGUGGUCAUCAUGUUGUAUUGAGGUCUGAAAUCACUCCUUCCUUGGCUAGGCUUGUAAGCAAGCAAGGGUAUCAAUACAUAAGUUAAAAGAAACCUAUGUUGUUAAAAGAAGAAAGUUCUCUCAUCCCUUUUUUCUCUAUGUUACUGUUGAUAUACAUAUAUGAUACAUCUAUUGAAAAUUGAAGUGAGAUAAUUUUCAAGUACAUGUUUCCAUCCAAUCAAAUUGUAGCAUGUGCUAAUGCUA